rnacentral:rRNA from 1 species
AACGAACGCUGGCGGCAUGCCUAACACAUGCAAGUCGAACGAAGUCUUCGGACUUAGUGGCGCACGGGUGCGUAACGCGUGGGAAUCUGCCCUUGGGUACGGAAUAACAGUGAGAAAUUACUGCUAAUACCGUAUGAUGUCGUAAGACCAAAGAUUUAUCGCCCAAGGAUGAGCCCGCGUAGGAUUAGCUAGUUGGUGAGGUGAAGGCUCACCAAGGCGACGAUCCUUAGCUGGUCUGAGAGGAUGAUCAGCCACACUGGGACUGAGACACGGCCCAGACUCCUACGGGAGGCAGCAGUGGGGAAUAUUGGACAAUGGGCGAAAGCCUGAUCCAGCAAUGCCGCGUGAGUGGUGAAGGCCCUAGGGUUGUAAAGCUCUUUUACCCGGGAAGAUAAUGACUGUACCGGGAGAAUAAGCCCCGGCUAACUCCGUGCCAGCAGCCGCAGUAA